rnacentral:rRNA from 1 species
AAAGGAAACUGGACCGACCCUUCGGGGAGCUUUGUACAGGUGCUGCAAUGGCUGUCGUCAGCUCGUGUCGUGAGAUGUUCGGUUAAGUCCGCUAACGAGCGCAACCCUCGCUGUGUGUUACAAGUGUCACACGGAACUGGCCGGUCAUAAACCGGAGGAAGGUGGGAUGACGUCAAGUCAGCAUGGCCUUUAUAUCCUGGGCUACACACACGCUACAAUGGGAAGGGACAAUAGGUUGCGAAGCCGCGAGGCGGAGCCCAACCCAGACAAAACCUUCCCUCAGUUCAGAUUGCAGGCUGCAACUCGCCUGCAUGAAGUUGGAGUUGCUAAGUAAACGCAGGUCAGCCAUACUGCGUGAAUACGUCCGGGCUU